rnacentral:piRNA from 1 species
UGAUUGUUCCUUUUUCAUCCACUCUG